rnacentral:rRNA from 1 species
CGAACGCUGGCGGCGGCUAACACAUGCAGUCGGCGAUAUAGUGGCAGACGGGUGAGUACGCGUGGAAACGUGCCCUUCGGUCGGAAUAGCCCCGGGAAACUGGGGGUAUACCGUAUACGCCCCUCGGGGGAAAGAUUUAUCGCCGAAUGAUCGGUCCGCGUUGGAUUAGCUAGUUGGUGGGGUAAGAGCCUACCAAUGCGACGAUCCAUAGCUGGUCUGAGAGGAUGACCAGCCACACUGGGACUGAGACACGGCCCAGACUCCUACGGGAGGCAGCAGUGGGGAAUCUUGGACAAUGGGCGCAAGCCUGAUCCAGCCAUGCCGCGUGGAUGAUGAAGGCCCUACCGGUUGUAAAAUCCUUUCGUCAGGGACGAUUAUGACGGUACCUGAAGAAGAAGCCCCGGCUAACUUCGUGCCAGCAGCCGCGGUAAUACGAAUGGGGCUAGCGUUGUUCGGAAUUACUGGGCGUACAGCGCGCGUAGGCGGACUACUAAGCCACGUGUGAAAUCCCGGGGCUCAACCUCGGACCUGCAUUUGGAACUGGUAG